CCCUUAGAUGUUCUGGGCUGCACGCGCGCUACACUGACGCACGCAACAGGUGCCUGCUCCGAGAGGACUGGGUAAUCAUUUGAGUGUGCGUCGUGAUGGGGAUAGAAUAUUGUAAUUAUUACUCUUCAACGAGGAAUUCCUAGUAAGCGCCAGUCAGCAGCUUGCGCUGAUUACGUCCCUGCCCUUUGUACACACCGCCCGCCGCUCCUACCGAUGGGUGAUCCGGUGAAUGAUUCGGACUUCAGCGGCUCCCCUGGGGUGCGCCGGAGAAAGUUUUGUGAACCUUAUCACUUGGAGGAAGGAGAAGUCGUAACA
rnacentral:rRNA from 1 species